AUCCUGCCAACAGCUUUUCACUGUCUUUCCUCCUAUGUUCAUGUUUGUAGUUUAUUUCUCAUCUGUAGUUCAGAUAGCAAAACUCCAGAAUCUGUUUUCCUCUUAAAACUUUGUCUACCUCACAUUUUUCCCUUUUGUGCUGCACUUGGGGAACUUCAUUUGGCUUCAAUAUUCACCUUGUAUUUCAGACUCCGGCUAUUUCAAGCAUAGAAGCUUCUAAUUGACUUUCAGAGCUGUAAUGCAUGUCUGGGACUCAUGGAGAAUAUGAACAAACUCACUGCAAAGCCUUCUGGAUACUUUCUCCCAGGUAACAAUUGUUCCCAUUAUCACAGGUCAGCCAGGAGGAGGAAACAGCCUCCUGCUGGUUGUCCCCAAAUGAUGCUGAUGUAGAGUCCUGGACAUGCAGUCCUUAAGAGCAGCUGUGUUCUUCCACCCUACAUCUCCCCUCUGCCUUAUCUCUGAUGAGCACCCACUGGCACUGAAUGUGUAACUGCCUGUGGCCUUAAAGAUGCCUUUGUUUGUUUGCUUGCUUGCUUUCUGAGCCCAUACUCUUUAUACUCUCCUGCUAAGCAAGGUGUUCGUUUCUAGUCUUGUUAGUCUCAACUGGGUUAUGGCAGCACAUGGCAGCACUUAGAAGGUAGAGGUGGGUGUGACACAGGAACUAGCUCACUUCAGGUAGUAAGUAGAAAUAUAAAGGGACCAAGGCUGAAAUCUCAAAGUGGCUCACAAGUAUCUUGGUGAAGACAGAAGCUGGAGUUAAAUGGAGGAACAGGGAUUAACACAGCAGAGUCUGGAGCACUGAGGAAGAGGUAGGAGAGAGCUGGCAGCUGAGUGGCAGUGAAGCUAAAAUAGUAGAAAGAAGGAAGGAUGCUGGAGCAGUGAUGGCAUGCUGGCACCCUGCCACCCAAACCCUUCAGGAGAAAAUGUGAGCCAUGAUUGUCCUUUCAUGUGUCCUUAAUUCUGACGCAGCUAAUUGUAACAUAAAGAUAGUUUCUAAUACAAUUUUUGUGUAUGAGGGUACCUCAGGCAAUCCAGAGGCAAGUAGCUAAAUACAAGGUGACCAAGAAAGGUUGCAGCUAAAUUUUGGAGGCUGGGAUAGAAUUAACUCGUAAAGCUGCAAGCUGACCUUGCACACUGAGAACAAAGAGACUUUACCAUGAUGAGGAACACUGAGACAACUGCCAAGUGACUACUAGCUGAUAGACAAUCAAGGCCCACAAUUAGCAAAACUGGAACCAGAGCAGACAGAAGCCAUCUCUACUGUCUGGACAGCACAUGAACAGCUCGUGGUCCUCUCCUUGCUUGAGCCAGAGGCAUAGACACAGAACAUGUGGGCCUACCAUUUACUCAGCCCAUGAUAACCCAAAGAAUUAGCUAGUCUCAGUAGAGAUUACCUCAGCCUCUGACAUUUCUCCCAUGCCCUAUAAAAAUUCCACAGAAAGAGGUUCAGCAGCUUCUUCCUGAGUUGGAAAGCCAUUCCACUCCUGGGAAUUUCUCUCACAUUUAUGCAGUUUCUCAUUUUCCCUCCAUUUUUUGCUUUUCUGUAGUAAUUCUUUAUUAGCUUAGUUCUGCUUUGCCUAGCCUCACAGGAGUCCUUAAUGUUCACUAGCGGAGGAUCUUUGAUGAUGAUAUGUAUCUGGAAUUUUGGGUCCUUGGUUCAAGCACUAAUCUGUGUAAGAUCUUAUCACUCUAAAACUUUGUCAGGAGAAUGAGAAUUGAAGGUCAGCCUGGGCUACAGAAGACUCUACUUCAAAGAGACAGAAGUAAAAAUAGAAUUAGGAGGAGGGAAAAGAGAAGGAACAAGAAGGGAAUAAAACAGGGGAUGAGGAGGAAAAGAAGGAGGAAAAGAAAGGAGAAAAAGCA
rnacentral:lncRNA from 1 species